AAAAUUACAUAAACGCUGUUUAUAGCGUAUUGUAUUUUUCUGUUAUUUUAUUUAUCCUUGUUGAUUCUAUGUGCUCGUGUUUUUUUCAAUUCUCGCCUUUUUCUCCUCUCCGUUUACUCAGACAUUCGGAAUGCUCCGCUUAUGUAUGCACGUACAUAUAUACAUACAUACAGCUUAUUAGUAUUGUUAUGUUUAGUCAAUAGUUAUCAACUCAGAGAAGCCAUCUGUUAUUCAAAGAUAUGACUUGAUGCUCUAGGCCAAUUGGCGCGCAAUUGUUAAGUUUUCACCUGUCGGCGACAACUGCUACUAGCAGCUAACAACGAUUAUUACUGUGAUGAAAUACUUCAUGUUUUUAGGUCCGGAACCGCCAUUACACCUUACCAUAUCACACGAGUAAACCUAUCACGAGCAUUUCUUUGCUUCUGGUGCCUAAGGAAAACCGUCUACAUGCCUGGCUGGAGUUCGUGUACAUACACAUUAUUAUUAUUGGCCUAUUAGGAAUAUAGCAGUUUGUUCUUGGUGUGACAUUUAUCACCACCGGUAGUGUGUGUUCUUGUUUCUGCUGCAAGAGAACAAUCGGGCAGAUUGCUGACAUAGUGAGUUAUGUGACGUGCAUAGAAAGAGGACAUUCACUUUUACGUUUUGCAGGACUCAGUCGUCCUAGGGACCAUCGAAUUCGUACGGAAUCGAAUCUCCGCUACCUCCUUCCGUCAUUUCACUAUUCAAAAAUGCACGUCUUCGUAAGGAACCAUAUUGUUAAGCUGUAUUGAAGUUCAAUGAAACUUUUGAAUCCGAUGUUCCAAGUCAAGGGGGUUAACAGCGGCCCUUCCCGUAUCGAACGUGCAGCUGUAAAGAGGACGGUGCUCAGGACUGUUUACUCAGCGCGCUAAGAAAAUAACGGACAGACGCUAGAAGGUUCCGACGAUAGGUAUUAGGAGUCGGCUGUUAUUGCUAAGGCCAGGCGGAACCUAGGAGAAGACAGGUUCAUUCGACAAAAUAGGCCUUAUUCAAGUAGUUUUUCUACUUUGAUGCAAAUCGAUAUUACGACUGUGGCCACCUCGCUUAGCAUUCAAAAACGCUAAAU